rnacentral:rRNA from 1 species
AACGAACGCUGGCGGCAUGCCUAACACAUGCAAGUCGAACGAGACCUUCGGGUCUAGUGGCGCACGGGUGCGUAACGCGUGGGAACCUGCCCUUAGGUUCGGUAUAACUCCCCGCAAGGGGUGCUAAUACCGGUUAAUGUCUUCGGACCAAAGAUUUCUCGCCUUUGGAUGGGCCCGCGUUGGAUUAGCUAGUUGGUAGGGUAAAAGCCUACCAAGGCGACGAUCCAUAGCUGGUCUGAGAGGAUGAUCAGCCACACUGGGACUGAGACACGGCCCAGACUCCUACGGGAGGCAGCAGAGGGGAAUAAUGGACAGUGGGCGAAAGGCUGAUCCAGCAAUGGCGCGUGAGUGAUGAAGGGCUUAGGGUUGUAAAGCUCUUUUACCCGGGAUGAUAAUGACAGUACCGGGAGAAUAAGCUCCGGCUAACUCCGUG